rnacentral:tRNA from 1 species
CAGGGUGUAGCGCAGUUGGUAGCUCGCUUGCUUCGAGAGCAAGAGGUCGCAAGUUCAAAUCUUGUCACUCCGACCA